CACACCUCGAAAUCCACCUUGAUAGUCUCUGGGUAGAAAUAGCGAACCCAUUAUAUCUGUCUGCAAUGAAGACAAAUAAUCUAGGAGACUUCCAGAAUAGUUUGGUCUUAUCUGUCAUCUUAUGUAUGGAAGGAAGCUUCCCAUCCUGAGUUACGUGGUGUUGGGGGAAAUAAAGCAGCCUGGGGUGCCUUUUACACUGCUAUGCUGUCAGAACAUCCACUCCUGGCCUGCUCACACAGCCUUCAGCCAUCUUCUGGAGAUAUGAAGGGUCUGUAUUACACAUUUCCCCCAGCCCUCUGAUUCUAAAAGUGAUGAACAAGAUCAGGCAGGACAAGGACAAGGUUGUCCAGAUAGUGCCUAUGUGGCCAAGACAGGUGUGGUAUCCUUACCUGUUUCAAUUGUCUCCUUGUUCCAUGUUUCCCUCCUCUUCACUCUCAAGUGCUUCAUCCCAACAUAAAGAUUCUUCUCCUCAA